rnacentral:lncRNA from 1 species
UGUGGGAGAUUCAGAAAAUAGUGUUUCCGAGGAAAUGACCAGCACGCUGGGCCUUGGACAUGGUCAGAACGUGAAAAGCAAGGGAGGCCAUGAGGCCUACCCCUGUCCUGGGUGGAACAUACGGCUUGCAUCAGCUCAGACUGCCAUUGACAGCCACACUGGGGAGCUGCCCCUUUAUCCUGGAGGUGACAGGCCCAACCAGGGAUCUUUGAAUAGGGGAGUAAGGUGGAAAAAUAUAUGAAAAUGAUGAAUGUUAAUUGUGAUGGAAAUGAUGAAGACAGUGAUGGUGAUGUUUGAGGAAAACCUUUUGAUAGCCAUAAUGUAGCCCAUACUUCUGUAUGGCUAAAGAGUAGUUUGAAACAAAGAGACUAGUUUGAAAACUCCAACUGUGUGGGGAGACCUGGAGACCCUGGAGCUGAAACCCAGUCCUGGGAACCAGGGAAGCGAGAGUUAUCGCCAGAAACUUGGAUGACCAACUCGAGGAAGCAAGAAGACCAGUUGGGCCUCCUCAGGCUGUUCCUUAGAGUGCACCAGACUGAAAGCCAGCAGAGCAGGAAACCAGAUCCACAAGUGUGGAGACCUUGAGGAGGAAAAGCAAAGAAGUGAACAGUCUGAGGGUGACAGGAACAGAGGUAUCUCUUCUUAGUUCUUUUGUACCUAGAGAGA